AUAAACAUUCCAGGGUGAAGGCACAAUCCACACUGUGAGGUCCAACUGCUGCCAUGCAGACAGCAGAGUGACCAGUGUUAACAGUAUUAGACAGCUCGAAAGGAGGAUACAGAAGCUUCUCGUCACAAAAGAAGAAACAAUGGUGUGGAUUCUCCGAGUGUGGUGACCCAGGAGCCAUCGUUCUCAGUGUCCCCUGGAGGGGCAGUCACAAUCACCCGCGGCUUGAGCUCUAGCUCAGUCUCUACCAGUUACUAUCCCGGCUGGUACCAGCAGACCCCAGGCCCGGCUCCACGCACGCUCAUCUACAGCACAAACACUCGCUCUUCUGGGGUCCCUGAUCGCUUCUCUGGCUCCAUCCUUGGGAACAAAGCUGCCCUCACCAUCACGGGGGCCCAGGCAGAUGAUGAAUCUGAUUAUUACUGUGUGCUGUAUAUGGGUAGUGGCAUUUCCACAGUGAUCUAAACCUAUGAGGAAGUGCAACUAAAACCUCUUUAUAUACUCAGAACAGUUCAGCCCUUACAGACAGGAGGGAAAGUGAGAGGGUGGAAAUGGUCAACACGGUGAGUGAGGAGUCUCCUUGCCCCAGUCUCUGACGCAGGGGUUCACUGCCAGGUGCCUCACCCAGUCUCUCCCCGGGUGUGUCCACCUUCCCAGUGUGACUUUUCCAUGGCUGUGCUUCCUCUCCACUGAGAAUAAUGUGGAGGGAGAAUUAUCAACAAAAUAUAUAAGCUCACAGUGAGUCACAGACACCCCAGUGCUCCAGGAAGACGCUUCUUAUUCAAAGAGAAUUAACAGGCAUAUGCUCACUCAUUAAUUUGACUAUGGAGGCUGACUUAAUAUUUUAUUUAUCACUGAAGUGGGAGCAUUUUCAAGGGGCUUGUUAAAAAUGUAAUUCUCUAACCUAAACCUACUAAGUCAGAAACUUGUGUUGGUGACAGAUAGCCUGUAUUUAACAAGCUGUACAUGAGAUUUUUAUUAGCAUUAAUGUUUGGGAAGAACCUACUUUUAUUAUUAUAAAAUUAUUCAUAGGGAUCUCUGUUUAAAAUGUCAGGUUAAUAUUCCAUAAUCCUACUCUCCUAAGUUCCCAUUCAAAACCCCCCAAAUAGAAACAGAUUUUAAAUUUCAAGCCAUAACAAAAAUUGUAACUUGAUUUAUGCAGACAGAGUUGGGAGGAAUUUCUAAAAGCAGAAGUUCUUAGGUGCCAGGUGUGCUGACUCAUGCCUAUAAUCACAAUACUUUGGGAGGCUGAAGCAAGAGGACUGCUUGAAUCCAGGAUGACACCAGUGUCUUCCACAUAGUGAGACUCCAUCACCACGAGAGGAAAAAAAAGAUGUAGGGUAUAUUUAGUGGUCCAUAUCAAUAUCUGUUACUGAAAACCAUCCCAUGGAGGACUGGCUUCCAGAAUCCCUUCUCCCGCCCACUGAGCUCACCUACCUGUGGCUCUGGCUCUCAGGGUCUUUGUAGGACACAGGGCUCAGCCUCUUAUCACAGAUUGUUCCACAGGAUCAUGGUUCCACUGAGAUCCUCUCAGCAUAGAUACGUACCUGUCCUGAACAGUGUCUCUUAACAUAAUGUUGGCAAGAUGGGAAGGACUGAGGGGUGACGGAGCCUUGGAGCCACCAGAAGAUGGCAGUAACCUCACUGCUGAGCUUUGCUGGGCCAGACUCAGGCUCCCACCCUCCUCCCUUCCUCUGACUCUUUUUCCUGGCCACCCGGGGUCCAGGAGCUUUUUCCACUCAAUCUGGGCUCAGGGGUCACCUCAGAGAACCUCUCAAGACAAAGGAGGUGUUUCAGGGGAUCUAACACAAGUGAGGGCAGAUUUUAAGACUGUCCAUGCACAGAAAAUCCUGUGAAAAGAAACAAACCAGCCCUACUUGUGUCUGUGCACCUGAGUCCUUAGGACUGUUUUCCUGAUCUCCUGGCUGAGUCAAGAUUGCAAAUGUGCGGUUCAUUAUCCAGAUCCAGAGAAAUCCAUGACAGUUUAUGAAGACAAAAGACGACAACUACCCUAUCUACUUGUCACACAAUGAAGACACUGGCCUUAGAUCUGUCAGUGCCCUGGAACAUUCUGGAAGAAGAGGGUGAAGGUUACUUGGCAUAUGUUGGGACUCAAACAUGAGGAUCUCAUGAUGACCCAGAGGGAUAAAGGUGGGAUCAGUUGUGAGGGUGGAAAAUGUGGAUUUCUUAAGGCCAUUUUGUUAAUCCUUUUCUCAUUGCAAAGGAUUUAAACUGAAAUGAACACGAUUUUUCUAAUAAA